rnacentral:sRNA from 1 species
CUCGAACCACUUUCUAAUUGAAACAACCCGACCCAUUUUUUUUUAAACAUAAUUAAAUAUUCCCAUAAAUAUCUAAUUAAACCAACCAAUAAAGUAACAAUUAAACCGCAAGUCAAAAAUGUUAUUUUAUGAAUAAAUAAAUAAUUCAACCAACAAAACCAAGAAUGACUAAAAAUCCUAACACAACCCUAACCGGUUCCAAUAACCAACACAUAAAAAUAAACCAAACGAGUUCCUAGAUCAUCCUCUCUUCCUUGCCAUGAUUCCACGAUCACACUUUAUCUUUACCUGCAUCAACA